rnacentral:rRNA from 1 species
CGGACGGGUGAGUAACGCGUGGGUAACCUGCCUCAUACAGGGGAAUAACAGUUAGAAAUGACUGCUAAUACCGCAUAAGACCACAGCACCGCAUGGUGCAGGGGUAAAAACUCCGGUGGUAUGAGAUGGACCCGCGUCUGAUUAGCUGGUUGGUGGGGUAACGGCCUACCAAGGCGACGAUCAGUAGCCGACCUGAGAGGGUGACCGGCCACAUUGGGACUGAGACACGGCUCAA